AUACUCUUCCCUUUUAGUAUCGACAAGUCGUUUAGACGGUUAGUCGAGUAAAGAAUAAUGUUUAUUUACCACGUUAUUUGAAUAAUUCUACCGGUACCAAAGUUGGAAUAUUCUCAAUAGUUUUUUUAUAAAAACUAAUAUGGACAUUCAGCAUACGUUAUGCUGCCAAGUCGAAGCAUUUAUUCAAUAAGCACAAUUUAAGAUAAUGCGAGACAAAGGUACAAGAAAGUAUGUGUUGAAUGACAAUUCACGAAUAAAUUAUCCAAGAGGGAAGUGCUACCAAAUAUUAGAAAAAUUCUCUUACGUCUGCUUAUACUUUAACCAGAUAUAAGAAAAAUGAAAUUAAAAGAUUGAUCUCAUUUAAAA